AAUCUUCCAGAGCUGAGCGCAUUUGUUCGCCACAAAACCAAGCGCCUUCGGGCGUCCAGUGUUGACUCAGAACAACUAAGCUGAUCGCACGGUCUUGUACCGGCGACGUGUCUUUCAAGUGUCUGCCUUAUCAACUUUCGAUGGUAGGUACCUGACUACCAUGGUUAUGACGGGUAACGGAGGAUAAGGGUUCGACUCCGGAGAAGGGGCCUGAGAAAUGGCCACUACGUCUAAGGAUGGCAGCAGGCGCGCAAAUUACCCACUCUCAACAUGAGGAGGUAGUGACGAGAAAUAACGAGACCGAUCUCUUAUGAGGCCGGUCAUCGGAAUGGGUACAAUUUAAACCCUUUAACGAGUAUCUAUGAGAGGGCAAGUCUGGUGCCAGCAGCCGCGGUAAUUCCAGCUCUCAAAAUGCAUAGAAUUAUUGCUGCGGUUAAAAAGCUCGUAGUUGGAUCUGUGCUAGCCGGGCGGUCCACCCACUGGGUGUGCACUGGUUCGGUUGGCUUUUCUGCCGGUCUCUCCCCGGCGUUGGCCUUCACUGGUCGGCGUCGGUGGGCUGGCGAGUUUACUUUGAACAAAGCAGA
rnacentral:rRNA from 1 species